UGAACGCUGGCGGCAGGCUUAACACAUGCAAGUCGAGCGGGGGAAGGUAGCUUGCUACUGGACCUAGCGGCGGACGGGUGAGUAAUGCUUAGGAAUCUGCCUAUUAGUGGGGGACAACAUCUCGAAAGGGAUGCUAAUACCGCAUACGUCCUACGGGAGAAAGCAGGGGAUCUUCGGACCUUGCGCUAAUAGAUGAGCCUAAGUCGGAUUAGCUAGUUGGUGGGGUAAAGGCCUACCAAGGCGACGAUCUGUAGCGGGUCUGAGAGGAUGAUCCGCCACACUGGGACUGAGACACGGCCCAGACUCCUACGGGAGGCAGCAGUGGGGAAUAUUGGACAAUGGGGGGAACCCUGAUCCAGCCAUGCCGCGUGUGUGAAGAAGGCCUUAUGGUUGUAAAGCACUUUAAGCGAGGAGGAGGCUACUUUAGUUAAUACCUAGAGAUAGUGGACGUUACUCGCAGAAUAAGCACCGGCUAACUCUGUGCCAGCAGCCGCGGUAAUACAGAGGGUGCGAGCGUUAAUCGGAUUUACUGGGCGUAAAGCGUGCGUAGGCGGCUUAUUAAGUCGGAUGUGAAAUCCCCGAGCUUAACUUGGGAAUUGCAUUCGAUACUGGUGAGCUAGAGUAUGGGAGAGGAUGGUAGAAUUCCAGGUGUAGCGGUGAAAUGCGUAGAGAUCUGGAGGAAUACCGAUGGCGAAGGCAGCCAUCUGGCCUAAUACUGACGCUGAGGUACGAAAGCAUGGGGAGCAAACAGGAUUAGAUACCCUGGUAGUCCAUGCCGUAAACGAUGUCUACUAGCCGUUGGGGCCUU
rnacentral:rRNA from 1 species